rnacentral:misc_RNA from 1 species
UCGAAUUAAACAUGAAGCAGGUUGUUGCUGGCUCUCUGCAUGUGCACGCUUGUUUCUGCUUUAUUUCUCCAACUGUGCACACAUUGUAGAUCGUUUUUGGUCUAUGCUUUUCACAAUCUCUGAAUGUAUUAGAAUGCUUUUGAAUCUGGGGAAUAUACAUA